GACGAACGCUGGCGGCGCGCCUAACACAUGCAAGUCGAACGAGAGAGAGGAAGCUUGCUUCCUUAAUCGAGUGGCGAACGGGUGAGUAACGCGUGAGGAACCUGCCUCAAAGAGGGGACAACAGUUGGAACGACUGCUAAUACCGCAUAAGCCCACAGCUCGGCAUCGAGCAGAGGGAAAAGGAGCAAUUCGCUCUGGGAUGGACUCGCGUCCGAUUAGCUAGAUGGCGGGGUAACGGCCCACCAUGGCGACGAUCGGUAGCCGGACUGAGAGGUUGAACGGCCACAUUGGGACUGAGAUACGGCCCAG
rnacentral:rRNA from 1 species